GUGAAGUAAAUGGAAGAAAACAGAGAGCCAAAGACCAAAACUGACCCAGUGUGCAAUGAAUGCAGACAGCAGCCUCCCUGUUAGUGAACGCAGCCUACUGCUUGUAUGGGGCGCCCUAAGGGACCUUGGAAACAGCC
rnacentral:snoRNA from 1 species